rnacentral:lncRNA from 1 species
GAUGAAAAAUGUAUUUAUUGGGGUGAACACCAAUUUAGAUUUUUUAAACAGAUAUAUUUAUCCGAAUUAAUUGUAUCUACCAGGAAACCAACAGCUUUCACAUGAUGUUGAAGUUGAAGUUGAUGAAGUUGAUAUCACGCAAGCCUUCACACAUGAUUUAGUUACUCUAGCUCUUAUCUUACAAGGGACUAUUUUUACAAAUCCAUAAAAAAACGUGGUGGAACGUUGUGAGACGAGUUCUUUAAUUUCUUCAAUUUAAUCCUCGAUUAUUUCUUAGUUAUUUUAAAUUGUGGCUUUUAAAUCUUAUGUAAUGUAAAAUAUGUUGUUUAAAAUGAUUUAUAGUUGUAAUUUUAUUAUAUUUAUACAUGCAUUACUUGACGGAAAAGUAUUGGAGCGAAACCUAUGUCACUACCCAUAGUCUCUUUCUCUUUAAAUCCUUUCAAUGAUUCUCUUGUUAUUAUACAAUUUUCUGUUUCCAAUCACGUUUUCAUUUAUUUGUGCCACCAAAAAUAUAAUGUUGUAGCUAUGAGAAAAAUACAGCAUACGCCCAACAAAGAUAGUGAGCCUAACACUGUCAUGAUAUCCAAAGAACCAUCUUGUAUUUUCCUUGAGCCUUGUGAGCCUUUUGAGUCUACAACAUAAGCAAGUGGGGUCAAGUGUGUUAUAAGACAAAUCACUAUAUCUUCGCUUAUUUCCGAAUUGUUGGACAUUGAUAUACCAUCUGUAGCCCAUUCACCAUAGUUCCAGUAGUGACAAUACUGCUCUGAAUCACUUUUUUGAUGAUUGUGUGUCCUUCUUAGAAUAAGCGGCAGUGCCUCAGGCAGAUUUCUAUUGUAACCAGGUAUGGAUAUUGAUACGACACGACUCAAUACAGUUUUUUCAACAUUAUUCUGUUGAAAAAGAUUGUCGUUUGAGUAUAUUUUAAUAACCACUAUAGGAGGGAUUUUAUUUAUUUGCUUAAAAAUUGUUGAAAAAGUUUCGAGACGAUUUAAGAGAGUGUUUGGUACAUACGUAGCAAGUAGUAAAUUUGAGUCAUUGAUGAAGUCCUCGAUGUCAUGAUUCGAUUGCAAAAAUCGAAAAUGCUCAUUGUAAAAUUCACCCUUUAACAUUUCUGGAGCUUCAACAUUUCUAUCAUUAUUAAAAAAUGCUAUUCCAGAAACAUUUGAAACCAUGGGAUUAAUAUAAAAGUAGAUGAAACUAUGGGAGGCUUGUACGUAUACACCAAUGUCAACGUAGUCGAAAACUUCAAAAUCAAACUUAGAUUCAACAUCUUCUUCAACGAAGCUGUUUUGGUCGAAAUAUUUUAAGACUGAAAGAGCAUCAAUGGAAUUUUCAAAUGUUUCUAAGAAUUUGUUGGUUGAAUUUAGUUCUGCUGACAAACUAAUUACGUCUGUAUCUAAGCCUGUAAGGAAAUUGUAGAUUUCUAUGAUGUCAUCAAUUAACUUUGUCCAUUUUGUAGAGUUUUGAGUUACAUCUAAAACUAACCCAUUAGAAGAGAUUACAUUUGGAAUGGUAAGAUUCCGGAGAGAGACUUGAACAAUAUUAGAUAUUAAGUGUACAUCGCAAGGAGCAAUUUCCUUCUUGUUUUCUUUAAUUAAGUUUCUCGUUUCUUGUAAAACUCUUUCUGGUGUUAUUUCUCCCAUCAGCAUUUUCUCCAGCUCAUAUAAAGUUUUUGUAAUAUCUUGAGCAUUUUCACAACUGAUAGAUUGUGUUAAUGGUUCCCAAUGUGCCCCGUGUACAAAGUCUCCUGAGCAUAGUCUCGUAUAUGGAAUACCAUUGCUUUGAAGGCAUAAAGUCUGUGCCGUUCCCUUUUCUCCCCUACGAACCUGCGUCCAUUGACUUUCCAUUAAGUUUUGUGACGAAAAAACUUCGGGGAAACAGUAGUCUGUACUACGUAUUAC